GGGUCAGUAGGUUGGUCGUGCCACCGGUACGUACUGGUCUCACUUAUUCCUCCUUCCUGAAGAACCGUAAUGCCACUAAUUUGGUGUUGCGGGGAAACAGGACUGUUACUUUGAAAAAAUUAGAGUGUUUAAAGCAAGCUAACGCUUGAAUACAUUAGCAUGGAGUAAUGAAAUAGGACGAUCGAUCCUAUUUUGUUGGUUUCUAGGAUUGACGUA
rnacentral:rRNA from 1 species